rnacentral:misc_RNA from 1 species
GUAGGUGAACCUGCGGAAGGAUCAUUAUCGAGUUCAUGCCCUCCGGGGUAGACCUCCCACCCUGUUUAUCUUACCUUCUGUUGCUUUGGCGGGCCGACUGUCUAGGCCACCGGCGACUUGUUGGUGUGUGCCCGCCAAAGGCCCUAAAACCCUGUUAUUAAACGUGCCGUCUGAGUACUAUAUAAUAGUUAAAACUUUCAACGACGGAUCUCUUGGUUCUGGCAUCGAUGAAGAACGCAGCAUCUGACUG